CAGCAGCCGCGGUAAUUCCAGCUCCAAUAGCGUAUAUUAAAGUUGUUGCAGUUAAAAAGCUCGUAGUUGAACCUUGGGCCUGGCUGGCCGGUCCGCCUCACCGCGUGUACUGGUCCGGCCGGGCCUUUCCUUCUGGGGAGCCGCAUGCCCUUCACUGGGCGUGUCGGGGAACCAGGACUUUUACUUUGAAAAAAUUAGAGUGUUCAAAGCAGGCCUUUGCUCGAAUACAUUAGCAUGGAAUAAUAGAAUAGGACGUGCGGUCCUAUUUUGUUGGUUUCUAGGACCGCCGUAAUGAUUAAUAGGGAUAGUCGGGGGCAUCCGUAUUCAAUUGUCAGAGGUGAAAUUCUUGGAUUUAUUGAAGACGAACUACUGCGAAAGCAUUUGCCAAGGAUGUUUUCAUUAAUCAGUGAACGAAAGUUAGGGGAUCGAAGACGAUCAGAUACCGUCGUAGUCUUAACCAUAAACUAUGCCGACUAGGGAUCGGUGGAUGUUUCUAUUUUGACUCCAUCGGCACCUUACGAGAAAUCAAAG
rnacentral:rRNA from 1 species